rnacentral:rRNA from 1 species
AUUGAACGCUGGCGGCAGGCCUAACACAUGCAAGUCGAGCGGAGCGGCGGACGGGUGAGUAAUGACUAGGUAGCUGUCUGGUAGUGGGGGAUAACGUCCGGAAACGGGCGCUAAUACCGCAUACUAUCAGAUGAGCCAAGGUGGGUUUAGCUAGUUGGUGGGGUAAAGGCCGACCAAGGCGACGAUCCGUAACUGGUCUGAGAGGAUGAUCAGUCACACUGGAACUGAGACACGUCCCAGACUCCUACGGGAGGCAGCAGUGGGGAAUAUUGGACAAUGGGCGAAAGCCUGAUCCAGCCAUGCCGCGUGUGUGAAGAAGGUCUUCGGAUUGUAAAGCACUUUAAGUUGGGAGGCGUUACCAACAGAAUAAGCACCGGCUAACUUCGUGCCAGCAGCCGCGGUAAUAC